GCGCACGCGUCCGAGAGGGCUCCGGGGCGGGGCGAGCCGCUGCCCCGGCGAGGAUCGGGGUGAUCUGCUGGAGCUCCGGCCGCAGCCUUGAUUCCCGGCCUGCAGAACGGCCCUGGAGAGAAGCGGGGAGGCGGUGGUGGGGGCGGGGCGGCGUCCGGCUCUGAGAGAGCUGGGGGGAGGAGCGCGGCGGCGACGGCGGCGGCGGCGGCCGCGGCGGCGGCUCUAGAGGGAGAGGUGAAGGAGGCGGAGGAUCUCUUUUCCUCUUCUCAGACCCGGGAGCGUCUGGGACGCGGAGCCCGGAGCUGGGGCGACAAGGCGAUUGCGGGGGCCCGGGCUAGUUGUAAGAUGCACCAUUACUUGAUGUACUACUAGAAAAGGGAAAUAAGCCCAAGAUGGACAGUCUAUUAAGGGCCAUGCAUAAAGCUGGGAAACUACAUGAGAAUGGAAAUGAGAAGUAAACCCACCUUACAGAAAGGCAUAGCAAGGCAGCUUGUGUCUCAACUUUGAUGGUAUGUAGGAGGGCUAAAAACUUUCAUGGGAAUUUAAACUGGUUCUAGGUCUGAAUUCACACUCCCUAUGUGGUACAACAAAAUUUAAGCAGAGAUUCUAAUUAAAAGUUGUUUCAGAUUGGUAGUGCCUCAGGUGCUUGAAAGAAACAAAUAGCAAUUAUAUGAUGUCAUUAAUUGUGCUUGGUUUUCAGAGAUGUUAAAAUAUGAAAAAAAUAUGGUACCAUGUACCAGGCACUGUUCUUAUUGCUCGAGAUAAACUGUGAACAAAACAGACCUUCUCUGUCUUCCUUGAGUUUAUAUUCUGGAGAGGGGAAUGUUUAGACAAAAUAAGAAUAUACAUGGUAUACUAGAUGUUGUAGAUAUUUAAGUAAGGGGACUAAAAAUUGACCAUCAGAUUUAGUAAUUUGGAAGUUGUUUGCUGAUCUUGACGGGAGAGGCUUUGGUAGGGUAGUCAGGAAGCAAAAGCCUCUUGGGGUGAUUUUGAGAGAGAAUGGGAAGACAGGAAUUGGAGACAGUUACAGCUUCUUGGAAUGUUGCUGUCAAGGAGAGCAGAGAAACGAGUAAGUAGCUGGAGAGGAAACUGGGGUUAUGGCUUAUCUUUUUCAAUGAGGUAAUUAAGAGUGUGUUGAUGACGAUGCACCAGUAGAGAGGGAAAUAUUGCUGAUGCAGGAGGGAGAAGGGGGAAUGACUUAGCAAUAGGGUUUGGAGUCUGGCGUUCAAGUGGAGGAGUUGGCUGUAGAUAAGAGCAGUCAGUUCAUCUACAGUGAAUAACAGGAGAGAGGACAGGGCAAAUGGUGGUAGUGAUUGCUGCCUUCUUUCACUGAGGAAGUGGAAGGAAGGGCAGCAGCUAGGAGUGAGCAUGG
rnacentral:lncRNA from 1 species